AAAGCUGGUGGAAAAUGUUAAUUAUGAUGUUCAUACUUGUCUUUUUAGUAAUAUACUCCCUCUUAAGACCUUAAGACUGGUCUCAUUUACUCUUCUUUCUUCUUUGAGUAAAAAAGUAUAAUCUCAUCAUAACGACCAAAUUAGGGGCUUAAUCCAUUUUGCCCAACAAAUGCAAAAUUCCUAUACGGUCCUUCACUCCAACCGGA
rnacentral:misc_RNA from 1 species